rnacentral:rRNA from 1 species
AUGCAGGUGGAUGAUGUAAGUUGUUAUCAUACGGACAUAUGGUGGUUAUCCCGGGGAAAGUUGUUUGUUUUGGUGGAAGAACUAAGGGAAAAUGAUCCAUUUGUGGAAAAACAAAACCAUUGGUUCGCAAUACUGGGGUUAUAUCCAAGAUUCAGCAGGAAAAUAAGGUUAACUUGUAAUCUACCUACUGUCUAUCUAUUCAUGUUGGAUGUUGACUUCUCAUUCGCCAUCCUAGCGGCAGUUUCAUUGUUUCUUAAUAUAGGCCUCCGACGUGGAUAUAUUGGUAAUCACUUGUUACGACUGAAGUUUGAAUUCCACAUUGUAUUGCCUUGA